UACCAGCACCCCGAGUGGUCGGGACGAUUAUUGGGCCUAAAGCAUCCGUAGCCGGUUUUACAAGUCCUCCGUUAAAUCCAGCUGCUUAACAGAUGGGCUGCGGAGGAUACUAUAAGACUAGGAGGCAGGAGAGGCAAGCGGUACUCAGUGGGUAGGGGUAAAAUCCGUUGAUCCAUUGAAGACCACCAGUGGCGAAGGCGGCUUGCCAGGAUGCGCUCGACGGUGAGGGAUGAAAGCUGGGGGAGCAAACCGG
rnacentral:rRNA from 1 species